UCUCUCUCUCUCUCUCAAUUUUCAUUUCUAACAGUUUUCAUCACCCCAUUUUCAUUUCUUAUAGCUUUGAUCGCCACAUCAAGGCCUCAAGGUAAUUUUGAAAGUGUAUCACACACCCGAACAUCAUUAGCAGAGAAAGUAGGGUUCGAUGGGGGUGUGUUUCCUCUUUGUCUACGCCUCUUUCAGAGAAGAUAAGAGAACAGUGGGGACUGCUGUUUCCGAUUGCAACAUCAAUAGGCAAGAGAGAGACAGAUAGGUUAAUGUGCAGGUUGUGUUAAGAUGCAGUGACGAUGAACUUAGACCAAACAUACCUAAAGUUCUCUCUUGCAAUGAGCAAAGAAGGCAGGUGUGUUAUGCAAAGUAACAGAAUCGAUAGGACCUUCACCUUCUAUAAGGUACACUACAAGAGACGGGGGCUUCUUUCUAUUAUAAUGACUUUUAAUUUGUCUGUCCUUGAAUUCUGGGUUUCUGAUCACACAGUUACCCUAAGAAUCAGAGUUUUAUUGAUCUCAUUUUACAAAAUUAAUGGCAGCUUUUUGGCCACAAAUCUCAAGAGCAAUAUAUGAUCAUGCCAAUAACACCCAUAUUUGCAGUCCUUGAAGGUUUUAACUGCACUAUAUUUGCAUUUUGGAAAACUGGCGCAGGAAAAAUAUACCCCAUGGAAGGGGGAUCUAAAGCUCAGAUUUACAUCAAAAGAAUUUCUUGCAUUACCAAUCAUAUGCACAUUAUAAGAGUUUUGGAUCUUUAUCUAUAUGUUGAUUUCGUUCAUUAUAUUGAGGUGAAUUACCUGUCUGAUGUGAUUCCAAGAGCAGUUCACCAGAUUUUCGACACUUUUAAAGAACAGAAGGCACAUUACAGUAUGAUAAUAACCUUCUUGGAGAAAUAACUGAUUUAUUAGCACCCAAGAAGUAUCCUAGAUCUCUUAAAUAUAAAUCAAGGAAGUCAAUUUCUGUUAUAGAGGAUGGAUAUGGCGGCAUUGUAGUGAGAGGUUUGGAGGAAGAGUUUGUCUAUAGUGCCAAUGAGAUCUAUAACCUUUGGGAAGGGGAUCUAUAAAAAGGCAUACUGCUGAAAUGUUGCUAAACAAACACAGCA